rnacentral:rRNA from 1 species
GACACGACUCUCGGCAAUGGAUAUCUCGGCUCUUGCAUCGAUGAAGAGCGCAGCGAAAUGCGAUACGUGGUGCGAAUUGCAGAAUCCCGCGAACCAUCGAGUCUUUGAACGCAAGUUGCGCCCGAGGCCAGCUGGCUGAGGGCACGUCUGCCUGGGCGUCAAG